ACAGCGCCACGGCCUGCUCUCCCGCAUUA
rnacentral:sRNA from 1 species